GAUGAACGCUGGCGGCGUGCUUAACACAUGCAAGUCGAACGGAAAGGCCCAAGCUUGCUUGGGUGCUCGAGUGGCGAACGGGUGAGUAACACGUGGGUGAUCUGCCCUGCACUUUGGGAUAAGCCUGGGAAACUGGGUCUAAUACCGGAUAGGACCAUCGUUUAGUGUCGGUGGUGGAAAGUUUUUCGGUGUGGGAUGAGCUCGCGGCCUAUCAGCUUGUUGGUGGGGUAAUGGCCUACCAAGGCGUCGACGGGUAGCCGGCCUGAGAGGGUGUACGGCCACAGUGGGACUGAGAUACGGCCCAGACUCCGACGGGAGGCAGCAGUGGGGAAUAUUGCACAAUGGGCGCAAGCCUGAUGCAGCGACGCCGCGGGGGGGAUGACGGCCUUCGGGUUGUAAACUCCUUUCGCCAAGGACGAAGCGUUUUGUGACGGUACUUGGAGAAGAAGCACCGGCUAACUACGUG
rnacentral:rRNA from 1 species